GUGGGGAAUAUUGGACAAUGGGGGCAACCCUGAUCCAGCCACGCCGCGUGAGUGAUGAAGGCCUUCGGGUCGUAAAGCUCUGUGGGGAGGGACGAACGUCCGGGUGAAGAAUCCGGGGUGACGGUACCUCCUUAGCAAGCACCGGCUAACUUCGUGCCAGCAGCCGCGGUAAUACGAAGGGUGCAAACGUUGCUCGGAAUCAUUGGGCGUAAAGCGCACGUAGGCGGCCUCAUAAGUCGGAUGUGAAAUCCCUCGGCUCAACCGAGGAAGUGCAUCCGAAACUGCGAGGCUCGAGUAUGGAAGAGGGUCGCAGAAUUCCCGGUGUAGAGGUGAAAUUCGUAGAUAUCGGGAGGAAUACCAGUGGCGAAGGCGGCGACCUGGGCCAAUACUGACGCUGAGGUGCGAAAGCGUGGGGAGCAAACAGGAUUAGAAACCCUGGUAGUCC
rnacentral:rRNA from 1 species